rnacentral:rRNA from 1 species
GACGAACGCUGGCGGCGUGCUUAACACAUGCAAGUCGAACGGAAAGGCCCUGCUUUUGUGGGGUGCUCGAGUGGCGAACGGGUGAGUAACACGUGAGUAACCUGCCCUUGACUUUGGGAUAACUUCAGGAAACUGGGGCUAAUACCGGAUAGGAGCUCCUGCUGCAUGGUGGGGGUUGGAAAGUUUCGGCGGUUGGGGAUGGACUCGCGGCUAUCAGCUUGUUGGUGGGGUAGUGGCUUACCAAGGCUUUGACGGGUAGCCGGCCUGAGAGGGUGACCGGCCACAUUGGGACUGAGAUACGGCCCAGACUCCUACGGGAGGCAGCAGUGGGGAAUAUUGCACAAUGGGCGGAAGCCUGAUGCAGCAACGCCGCGUGCGGGAUGACGGCCUUCGGGUUGUAAACCGCUUUCGCCUGUGACGAAGCGUGAGUGACGGUAAUGGGUAAAGAAGCACUGGCUAACUACGUG